rnacentral:rRNA from 1 species
AGUGAACGCUGGCGGUAGGCCUAACACAUGCAAGUCGAACGGCAGCACAGUAAGAGCUUGCUCUUACGGGUGGCGAGUGGCGGACGGGUGAGGAAUACAUCGGAAUCUACUUUUUCGGGGGGGAUAACGUAGGGAAACUUACGCUAAUACCGCAUACGACCUACGGGGGAAAGCAGGGGAACUUCGGACCUUGCGCGAUUGAAUGAGCCGAUGUCGGAUUAGCUAGUUGGCGGGGUAAAGGCCCACCAAGGCGACGAUCCGUAGCUGGUCUGUGAGGAUGAUAGCCCACACUGGAACUGAGACACCGUCCAUGCUCCUACGGUAGGCAGCAGUGUGGAAUAUUGGACAAUGGGCGCAAGCCUGAUCCAGCCAUACCGCGUGUGUUAAGAAGGCCUUCCGGUUGUAAAGCCCUUUUGUUGGGAAAGAAAAGCAGCAGGUUAAUACCCCGCUGUUCUGACGGUACCCAAAGAAUAAGCACCGGCUAACUUCGUG